AAAAACUUAAAUCUCAGACUGAGUUAAGAGCAGUGCCGGAUUUGUAAAGCAAAGUAGUAGCAAAAAAUCAGAAAUGAAAGUAAAAUCUUUGCUGAUUCUUGGACUCCUGGUGCUUUUCUGUGGUUACACCGAAGCUGGCCUCUGUAAUUGGAUGUGCAGAAGUGUCUGUGCGAUGCCAGGUGUAUGCCAUGUUGUUUGUAAAUUGCUAUGCACGGAUCCAGACAGUGUGAAAACAUAUUCUUUUACAGUUCCACAAAAAUAGAAUCAGGAAUUAGAGCAUUUAGAUGUUUAUAUUUAUUUGAAGACACAAAUGAAAACCAAACAGAAAUCUCAACUGACGGCUAAAUGAAGAAAAAUUGUGUUUGCAAUAAGAAUAAAUAAAUAAUUGUAUAUUUUUUACAAUGAUA